AUUUUGUGUCAGUGUAUUCAUACAUCAAAAAAAAAUUACAAUUUUUAAAGCAAAUUAGAGCGAUCUGAAUAUAUGUUCUGUGAUUAUUCUAGACAAUCCUUAUUGGAGUGCAGAAAACAUUUCCAAAACGAAUAGGCGGAGAGAAUGUCGGAUAUUUUACCAGAUACUCAUUAAAACAAAUUAUAACAGACGAAUGUGUUACAUAUUUUACGUGGUCUGGAAGUAAAGAGAAGACUGCAAUUCAGAACUAUACUUUUAUACGCAUAAUUAAAGAUACUGAAUUAAACACGUAUAGAAAUUCUUAAUGACGACCAGAUACUUCACCAAUGGGAUCGUCUUCUUGUGCUUAAUUUAAUCCCCGUCAAAAAAUCUAAAAAAGUAAUUUUAAAAGUGAGCUUUUAAAAAAGAUUUGACAAAAUGGAAACAAUAAUUAAAGAACAGAACAAAGAACUAAAAGAAAUGGAUAACAAAAUGUACGAAUUGUAAUUGAAAAAGUCGGAACUAAUGAAACGAUUUCUUAACUGCACAGAAGAGUGCAAAAGUUCUUAAAAAAAAGGUUUUUCUAUAAUUAUUGUCAAUACUGAUAACUUAUUUAUAUU